rnacentral:tRNA from 1 species
CCAUCGGUUGUUCAGUGAUAGAAUGCUCGCCUGCCACGAGAGCGGCCCCGGGUUCGAUUCCCGGCCGAUGCA